rnacentral:lncRNA from 1 species
UACAUGUUUCAGAGUGCCGGGAUCAGCCUAUAAUUUGCAAAAAGAAAUUAUUUUCUAAAGACGAGAGGUGGUCCUACCAGCUCACAGCUGAUGGUUAGGUACAGGUGUAAAUGCUGUUCAUGUGAUUUGGAGAUUUGCAGUGUUGCAUUUCAAAAGGCAUGUGCCAUGAGGCAGAGUAUGGCUGUUGUUAGUAUGGAGAAUGCUUGCUUCUAACUUGCUGUUAUGGAGAGCCGAAUGCCCUCUGAAUAGCUUCUAGUGAGGUUGAGGGCAGGCACUUGAGGCUUGUUGUAGAUUCAGAUGUGAGAGCUGGGGUUCUCCAACCCCAGCUCAGUGGAGUCAGCUCAACCCUGGGGGUGAGGAGGUUUCCCAGUUGUCAUGGGGAGCUCUUCUGGGACGCCUGUCUGGCCCUUCCACUGUUUGUUACUAAUUCUACAAAGGCAGCUCUGUGUGUUGGAUUAUGUUUGGCCAGCUGUUGAUGCAUUCCUGCGGAUGGGGCUGGUUCUGGAGACCAGAAGGCCAAAAUCAAAAGUAUGGGCAGGCUUGAUUUCUUUAGAAGACUCCAGCGGAGAACUGUGUCUCCUUGCUUCUGAUUCUACAUCUCCAUCCAUGGGCCACUGUUUCAGCAACCUCAGCCAGUGCAACACAACCUCAGCCAAGAAGAGUAUGCAGAGAAAGGAGUCCCCUACCUGCCACAAAACUGUUGUCUGAAAACUGUCUCAUAUUGUCUCAAGUUGUCAUUCAUUGUGAAUUAGACCUGUUUAACAUGUAAUCUGCAACAUGCUUCACUGUCUAAUUUUCCAGAGCCCCUCAUAUAAGGAACUGUAUUAUUGGUAUAAUCAUCAUGGUGAAGAAGUUGGUAUGUGGGGGAGAGAUGACAGAAACAGAGAGUAAGUCAGAGCUGGCUGCCUGACAGAUAAAAAGGAAAUGACCAAAAAAAAAAAAAAAGACACAGAAGAAUACUUUGUUGUCCACACAGAAAAGGGAAGUGUAGGUAAGACAGCAGUAGACUAAGAUUCUUAAGACUCAAGUUCUAGUCUUAUUUAUUAGCUAUGGGAGGCCUUGAGGGAGUUCUAGAAUUAAGUGAUCUCUCUUUAUAAAAUAGGAACAGUAAUAACUUCCUGGCUAACUCCCUGGCUGUCUCACAAUGCUGUAGUAGUAAGAAAUAAUUUUAUAAUUAAAGACUAUUUUAGGGCUGAUUACAUUUUUGGGCAGUGGCUCAUACAUGUAAUUUCAACAUUUUGGGAGGCCAAGGUGGGCGGAUUGCUUGAGCCCAGGAAUUCAAGACCAGGCUGGGCAACACAGACCUUGUCACUACAAAAGAAAAAAACAUUAGCUAGGCGUGGUGAUGUAUGCCUGUGGUCCCAGCUACUCAGGAAGCUGAGACAGGAGGAUCACCUGAGCCUGGGAGGUCGAGGCUACAGUGAGCCAUGAUCAC